GUUAAGCGACUAAGCGUACACGGUGGAUGCCCUGGCAGUCAGAGGCGAUGAAGGGCGUGCUAAUCUGCGAUAAGCGCCGGUAAGGUGAUAUGAACCGUUAUAACCGGCGAUACCCGAAUGGGGAAACCCAGUGUGACUCGUCACACUAUCAUUAACUGAAUCCAUAGGUUAAUGAGGCGAACCGGGGGAACUGAAACAUCUAAGUACCCCGAGGAAAAGAAAUCAACCGAGAUUCCCCCAGUAGCGGCGAGCGAACGGGGAGGAGCCCAGAGCCUGAAUCAGCAUGUGUGUUAGUGGAAGCGUCUGGAAAGGCGCGCGAUACAGGGUGACAGCCCCGUACACAAAAGCGCAUGUGCUGUGAGCUCGAUGAGUAGGGCGGGACACGUGGUAUCCUGUCUGAAUAUGGGGGGACCAUCCUCCAAGGCUAAAUACUCCUGACUGACCGAUAGUGAACCAGUACCGUGAGGGAAAGGCGAAAAGAACCCCGGCGAGGGGAGUGAAAAAGAACCUGAAACCGUGUACGUACAAGCAGUGGGAGCCCCACCACCAAAGCAUUCUCUGGUGUUGAAGGCCCUGCAAAGCAGCAUCGCGGUGGCGGAGCGUCGUUUGCGACGCCCAACACACAAAACAAGCGGUGAGUGCUUUGGGGUGGGGUGACUGCGUACCUUUUGUAUAAUGGGUCAGCGACUUAUAUUCUGUAGCAAGGUUAACCGAAUAGGGGAGCCGGAGGGAAACCGAGUCUUAAUUGGGCGUUAAGUUGCAGGGUAUAGACCCGAAACCCGGUGAUCUAGCCAUGGGCAGGUUGAAGGUUGGGUAACACUAACUGGAGGACCGAACCGACUAAUGUUGAAAAAUUAGCGGAUGACCUGUGGCUGGGGGUGAAAGGCCAAUCAAACCGGGAGAUAGCUGGUUCUCCCCGAAAGCUAUUUAGGUAGCGCCUCGUGAAUUCAUCUCCGGGGGUAGAGCACUGUUUCGGCUAGGGGGCCAUCCCGGCUUACCAACCCGAUGCAAACUGCGAAUACCGGAGAAUGUUAUCACGGGAGACACACGGCGGGUGCUAACGUCCGUCGUGAAGAGGGAAACAACCCAGACCGCCAGCUAAGGUCCCAAAGUCAUGGUUAAGUGGGAAACGAUGUGGGAAGGCCCAGACAGCCAGGAUGUUGGCUUAGAAGCAGCCAUCAUUUAAAGAAAGCGUAAUAGCUCACUGGUCGAGUCGGCCUGCGCGGAAGAUGUAACGGGGCUAAACCAUGCACCGAAGCUGCGGCAGCGAACGUAUCACUUAAAGCGAUUCAGCGGGUUACGAUUGACGGAGCGAAGCGACGUCAAAGCGUAUACAAAGUCGAGUC
rnacentral:rRNA from 1 species